UUAUAUGGCCACAUUUCACCCUGCAGCCCAAGGCUGGUUACUCACUGAAGCUAAGCAGUGCUGAGCCUUGUCAGUACCUGAAUGGGAGAUCACAUGGAUAUACCAGAUUGCUGUUAGAA
rnacentral:rRNA from 1 species